CACAACUGAGCAGUUUUCUUUGAAAAAGAAUAUCAUCAUGAAUUUUGUCGAAAAACAACACCAUACUAUACUAUGUCGAAAAAAAAAAUGAUUUUUUCAAGGUGUCGUAAAAACAUGCCAUAUGAUGAAAUAAUGUAAAAUAGGCCGUGAAAAACACUGCAGAGCAGUUUUCUUUGAAAAAAAAAAUCAUCGUGAAUUUUAUCCAAAAAAAAGCCAGAGGAUACUAUGUCGAAAAAAAUUUAUUUUUUCAACAUGUCGUAAAAACAUGCCAUAUGAUGAAAUAAUGUACAACAGGCCGUGAAAAACACUGCAGAGCAGUUUUCUUUGAAAAAAAAAUCAUCGUGAAUUUUAUCCAAAAAAAAGCCAGAGUAUACUAUGUCAAAAAAAAUUUAUUUUUUCAACAUGUCGUAAAAACAUGCCAUAUGAUGAAAUAAUGUACAACAGGCCGUGAAAAACACUGCAGAGCAGUUUUCUUUGAAGAAAAAAAUCAUCAUGAAUUUUGUCCAAAAAAAACGCCAUAGUAUAUACUAUGUCGAAAAAAAUGUGAUUUUUUUCAACAUGUCAUAAAAACAUGCCAUAUGAUGAAAUAAUGUAAAAUAGGCCGUGAAAAACACUGCAGAGCAGUUUUCUUUAAAAAAAAAAUCAUCAUGAAUUUUAUCCAAAAAAAACGCCAGAGUAUACUAUGUCGAAAAAUAAUUGAUUUUUUCAACGUGUCGUAAAAACAUGCCAUAUGAUGAAAUAAUGUAAAAUAGGCCGUGAAAAACACUGCAGAGCAGUUUUCUUUGAAAAAAAAAUCAUCGUGAAUUUUAUCCAAAAAAAGCCAGAGUAUACUAUGUCAAAAAAAAAUUUUUUUUUCAACAUGUCGUAAAAACAUGCCAUAUGAUGAAAUAAUGUACAACAGGCCGUGAAAAACACUGCAGAGCAGUUUUCUUUGAAGAAAAAAAUCAUCAUGAAUUUUGUCCAAAAAAAACGCCAUAGUAUAUACUGUCGAAAAAUAAUUGAUUUUUUUCAACGUGUCGUAAAAACAUGCCAUAUGAUGAAAUAAUGUACAAUAGGCCGUGAAAAACACUGCAGAGCAGUUUUCUUUGAAAAAAAAAUCAUCAUGAAUUUUGUCCAAAAAAAACGCCAUACUAUACUAUGUCGAAAAAAAUGUGAUUUUUUCA